GAGAGGGGAGGAGAGAGGGAGGAGAGAGGGGAGGAGAGAGGUGAAGGAGAGAGGGGAGGAAAGAGGUGAAGGAGAGAGGGGAGGAGAGAGGUGAAGGAGAGAGGGGAGGAGAGAGGGGAGGAGAGAGGUGAAGGAGAGAGGGGAGGAGAGAGGUGAAGGAGAGAGGGGAGGAGAGAGGGGAGGAGAGAGGUGAAGGAGAGAGGGGAGGAGAGAGGUGAAGGAGAGAGGGGAGGAGAGAGGGGAGGAGAGAGGGGAAGGAGAGAGGGGAGGAGAGAGGUGAAGGAGAGAGGGGAGGAGAGAGGUGAAGGAGAGAGGGGAGGAGAGAGGUGAAGGAGAGAGGGGAGGAGAGAGGUGAGGAGAGAGGUGAAGGAGAGAGGGGAGGAGAGGUAAAGGAGAGAUGGGAGGAGAGAGGGAGGUGAGAGGUGAAGGAGAGAGGGGAGGAGAGAGGUGAAGGAGAGAGGGGAGGAGAGGGGUGAAGGAGAGAGGGGAGGAGAGAGGUGAAGGAGAGAUGGGAGGAGAGAGGGAGGAGAGAGGGGAGGAGAGAGGUGAAGGAGAGAGGGGAGGAGAGAGGGGAGGAGAGAGGUGAAGGAGAGAGGGGAGGAGAGAGGUGAAGGAGAGAGGGGAGGAGAGAGGGGAGGAGAGAGGUGAAGGAGAGAGGGGAGGAGAGAGGUGAAGGAGAGAGGGGAGGAGAGGGGUGAAGGAGAGAGGGGAGGAGAGAGGGGAGGAGAGAGGUGAAGG
ensembl:lncRNA